rnacentral:rRNA from 1 species
CCUACGGGAGGCAGCAGUGAGGAAUAUUGGUCAAUGGGCGCGAGCCUGAACCAGCCAAGUAGCGUGAAGGAUGACGGCACUACGGAUUGUAAACUUCUUUUAUAAAGGAAUAAAGUGAGGCACGUGUGCCUGUUUGUAUGUACUUUAUGAAUAAGGAUCGGCUAACUCCGUGCCAGCAGCCGCGGUAAUACGGAGGAUCCGAGCGUUAUCCGGAUUUAUUGGGUUUAAAGGGAGCGUAGGUGGGUUGUUAAGUCAGUUGUGAAAGUUUGCGGCUCAACCGUAGAAUUGCAGUUGAUACUGGCAGUCUCGAGUACGGUUGGGGUAGGCGGAAUGCGUGGUGUAGCGGUGAAAUGCUUAGAUAUCGCGAAGAACUCCGAUUGCGAAGGCAGCUUAC